rnacentral:rRNA from 1 species
UACGAAGGGGGCGAGCGUUGUUCGGAUUUACUGGGCGUAAAGGGCGCGCAGGCGGCUCAUUUUGUCAGGCGUGAAAGCCCCGGGCUUAACCUGGGAACUGCGUUUGAUACGGAUGGGCUAGAGUUCGGGAGAGGAGCGUGGAAUUCCCAGUGUAGAGGUGAAAUUCGUAGAUAUUGGGAAGAACACCGGUGGCGAAGGCGGCGCUCUGGACCGAGACUGACGCUGAGGCGCGAAAGCGUGGGUAGCAAACAGG